rnacentral:rRNA from 1 species
GACGUAGGGCGCGAGCGUUGUCCGGAUUUAUUGGGCGUAAAGAGCUCGUAGGCGGCUUGUCGCGUCGACUGUGAAAUCCCGCGGCUCAACUCCGGAUCUGCGGUGGGUACGGGCAGACUAGAGUGCGGUAGGGGAGAUUGGAAUUCCUGGUGUAGCGGUGGAAUGCGCAGAUAUCAGGAGGAACACCAAUGGCGAAGGCAGAUCUCUGGGCCGUAACUGACGCUGAGGAGCGAAAGCAUGGGGAGCGAACAGG